rnacentral:rRNA from 1 species
CCUACGGGGGGCUGCAGUAACGAAUAUUGGGCAAUGGGCGCAAGCCUGACCCAGCGACGCCGCGUGCAGGAGGAAGUCCUUCGGGAUGUAAACUGCUGUCAGGGGCUAGCAAGCAAAGGGUGUUAACAGCAUCCGGCGUUGAGCCGCCCCAGAGGAAGCCUCGACUAACUCUGUGCCAGCAGUCGCGGUAAGACAGAGGAGGCAAGCGUUGUUCGGAAUCACUGGGCUUAAAGCGCGUGUAGGCGGCGGCGCAAGUGUCGUGUGAAAUCCCACGGCUCAACCGUGGAACUGCACGGCAAACUACGUCGCUUGAGGUUGGUAGAGGUGCCUGGAACUCUCGGUGGAGCGGUGAAAUGCGUUGAUAUCGAGAGGAACGCCGGAAGCGAAAGCGGGGCACUGGGCCGAUUCUGACGCUGAGACGCGAAAGCGUGGGGAGCAAACAGGAUUAGAUACCCCAGUAGUC